CUUAUAUUUUAUUGUAAAAAAAAGUUAAAUCAUAUGUUACGAUUCAACCUAUAUGACUUUGCUUUUUUCUACUUUAAAUGAAAAUAUCUAAUUUAAGAAGUAUGUAUCUCACUACUAUAGAACGAACAAUACUGUAGUAUAAAUAGACAGAGCUCGUCAGCAGCCUCUAUCCUUUUCCACGAAAACACUGCAUUGUUAUCAGACUAUAUUGUAUAGGUAAACCGGUUUUGUAGGUUUUUAAAAGUGAUUUUUUUACGACACAAUGCUUUUAUGUUUCAUGUUGCAUGUUAUCUUUUCAUUCUCGUAUGUGUCCUCAAAUUACAUGACUUUUGAAUACUUGAAUAUUAAAUGGUUGUAACUGAGCAUGACAUAGCCUAGAAAAAAAUAAAUCUACAAAUAUAUAUACUAUUUAGUCUUGAAGACACAAAACCAGUCUUAUAAUUUGGUACACCAAACAUGCGUUUUUGCCUUUACAAGACUCUGAAUCAUCAGUGCCGAUGGAAUCAAAAUAUUUAAAAUCAAAUUAAUUGACAAAUAGAAGAGCAUUGAAAGACAAAAAUUCCAAAAUGUUUUCAAAAUUUGACUUCAAAAAUGUAUGCAUGGAACAGAAAAGAAAAGUGUUUUGAAUGAUUUAAAAGCAAAAAUUAACAAUAAAAGUUAAUUUAGUGAAACGAAAUGGCCAAUGUCAAAGAUAGUUUAUGUCAGGAGAGGAAAGAUCACUAUUAAGGCGGUGAUAUUACCCACGGGGGAUAUCAAACUUGCAAAACUAACCACAUCCUUUAUCGUGAAGAAGACAAAAAAAAAUGGAAAAAGAAUGCGAAAUUAUCAAACCUAACCACAUUCUGUUUCACAAAGUUAAUACGUUUUAGAGGUAGUUUUAUUUCGCUAUUUCAAAAAUUAUUUAAAACAUAAAAAAGGUAAAGAGGGGAAAGGUUAUCAAAUAUUUUUCAAAAUUUUCACCUGAACUUCCUCAGUUAAAGGAAUUGAAGGCGGAUACGUUUUGAAAUAUUGUUUGAAUAUUUAAUAAAUCAAAACAAAAAGGAGUUUUUAGAAAAUAAGGAAACUCAAAAUCUACCGCAUGUAGGUAAGGAAGUAGUUUAACUUUGUCUUAAUAAAUAUUAGAUAUUAUGAGUGACGAAAUAACAACUUGUUUAAACAUACCAUUGACACUAAGAAAAAAAUGUGGUAUAUAUAUAUCAACGAAACAGCAGUCCAACAGCUCAAAUAAAAAAGAACCAAUCAAGUAUUUGGUACUCCUGUUACCCUUUAUUUGUUGUAACAUAGGUUAAUAUUAAGCAUUCAAAAGGGUGUCAUUACAAUAGGUCAAUCUCUAAAUCGUUCGGAAACUAAGAUAAGUUGUAAACAAAACACCGACUCGCAUUUUUGAUCUGUAGACUAACAAAGGUACACUUAAUUUGAUCAAAUACCUAUCAGUACUGUACAUGUAAUAUACAAAUGGUUUUAAACUAAAAAAAUUGAAGCAAAACAAUUUUUGUAAUUGAUUUACCAUUUUUUCUAUUCUUGCUGGAUUUCACGUUUAUAGAUCGUUCAUCUCUCUAUAACUCAAAAAAUAAAAUGACAAUUUUAUUAUUGCAUUCAAAUCAACGAAAUAGAGGAACGAUAUCAAAGGGAUAUCAUAACUCAUAAGUCUAGAACAAACUGACAAAGCCAUGGAAGCCUUUAACCCCAGAAAUGUUUUUCAAAUAAUAUGCAAAUAAUGCACUAUAGUUUGAAUUCCCGUAGAGCAUAACCCUUCCAUAAAAAUAUCCAUCUAUUUGAAAAAAGCAGAAAAAAAUCAUAUAAUUACAACAUGAAAUCAAAGAUCUUUCUACAAAUUUGGCGAUGUUUUGACCACUUUAGUAUAGUUAAGUCGAAUAGUUAUCAAAAAGUAACAGGCUUAUAAUUUAGUACGCUAGACGUGCGUUUCGACUACAUAAGACUCAUCUGUCGAAAACAGACUGACAAUGCCAGAAAGACGACAAGACAAACACAAUAAACUAAAGACUGAGCAAUAUUAACCCCACCGUAAAUCGGAUUGAUCUCAGGUGCUCCCUAAUGAUAAGCAGAUUCUGUUUCACAAGCGAAGUUAAAUACAAUUUUGCUGCUUUAGGAACAAUUUAUGAACUUUUAAUUAUAUUUCUAAACGUUGCAUUACUUAGUGAUGUACACUUAUCAUUAUACCUCAUAUGAUUCAAAAAUUAACUGAGUGAUAAUGUUUAAACAACACUUGAUCACAUAGGUGGAAUAAGGUAUUAUGCAAACUAGCACGAUUAAAAUUUAGAUUAGAACCAAAUUAAAAAAGAUAAGAUCACUAAUAUAAACCAUGUUUUGACUAUUCAGAUACAUGUAUAAGACUAAGGCAAAGAAAAGAUAAACAUCUCAUAACAUUUAAGAUAUUUUAAAUUAUAUCAAACAUAUUAAGGCUUAUUGAAGACAUUCGAUUUAACAAGUACAUAUAAAUGGUACGAUAUAUUAAAGGCGGGUCUACGUCUGGUUUACAUAAUAGAGAGUAAUUAUAAGCAAAUAUCAUGGUAAAAUGGUUUGAAAAAUUAAAGAAUAGCAAACUGAUGAAAUCCUCCCCCUAAAAAGAAAUAAAAUAAAAUAUAGAAAAAGAUAAACACAAAAAUAAAUAGAGAUUUAACGGUCAAAGUAUACAAAUAUAUAGAGAAUAUAGCAUUAUAAUUAAUUCAAGAAUACAGAAAUGCUGACCAUCAUCAAGACCCCCAUAUAUAGUAUUAAUGCAGGUACCAGCCCAAUCCGGAAUAUAUAUUUGAAUAUAAAGAGCUUAGUAGGUAUUAUGAUAGUUUUUUGCACAUUUGAUAAGUUUCAUUACUAUAAUUAGCUUUUUAAAACUACGUCUUACUCAACUGAAUAACCUGGAUUCGUUCCAAAACUUUUAUGUAAAUGAUUUUAAAAAUGAAACCCCUUUUUAUUUACAUUGUAUGUAUUGAAUGAAUGGAAACGAGUGAUGCAUACAUUACAACAAACAACUGUGCCCGUACUUCCUUGUCGUUUAAAUAAUUAUAAGUUAUUAAAAAAUUGUAUUUAGAAAAUAUUUAAAGAUUUACGACGCAAAUCAGAAAAAUCUAAUUCAGUUCAAUUCAAUUCAAUAUUUUAUUUUAGUCUCGUAUCUCAAAAACAUACAACACAGAAUUAAAUUAAAUACAUAUUAUAAAUAUAUAAUAGAGAGC
rnacentral:lncRNA from 1 species